UACAUGGGGUGCAAACGUUGCUCGGAAUCAUUGGGCGUAAAGCGCACGUAGGUGGCUUGUUAAGUCGGGUGUGAAAUCCCUGGGCUCAACCCAGGAAGUGCACUCGAAACUGGCGAGCUUGAGUACUGAAGAGGGUCGCGGAAUUCCCGGUGUAGAGGUGAAAUUCGUAGAUAUCGGGAGGAACACCAGUGGCGAAGGCGGCGACCUGGGCAGAUACUGACACUGAGGUGCGAAAGCGUGGGGAGCAAACAGG
rnacentral:rRNA from 1 species